GCAGCUCAGUGUUAAAGCAAGUGUUUUGAAUCCACAAGGUCCCAGGUUCAAUCCCUGGCUUCUCCA
rnacentral:tRNA from 1 species